ensembl:lncRNA
CCUGCCCAGCCAUCAAAAGCCUCCUGGAGAAAGCCUGAAGUUAAGAGAGACGACGCUGGUCUCCGCGCCCUCCCUGCUCCGUGGUCCUUGGCGGAAUGGUUGACUGGUAGAUGUGUACUUAAUCUGUUAAUGCUUGCGACGCCGUCUUCUCCUGUCAAAUGCAGCCUUCAGGGGCUUCCCUAGGACAAUGCUCACCUCUCGGGAGCUAUCCUGUUUCCACCGUGGCACACCCCUCACCCAUGGUCCUUGAAGUAACCGUGGCCAGCAUGGAGAAUGUUCUCAGAGGGCUGUGCCACCUUCUGCGUCCCGUCAGUCUCAAGUCUAUGCUCGCUGACGUCAGGACCACGUGCCCAUGUAGAGGUGGAUACAGGGCCCACAAGACGAUGCCACACCAGGUACUUGAAGAGACACACUGACUCAUAUUUCUCAUUGACAAUGCGUAUACAGUCUAUCUUUUUUCCAUAUCAAGCUUAGUCUUCUCGGGGAAGACGCCUCGGCUCUGGACUCAACACUGAACCUCCAUGAAGACCUGGUUGGCCUCAAGUGCUUUCAGACGAUGUGCGGUCCACAGGCCCAUUUCUUCCCCCAUCUCCCAUCCAGACUUGAGGAACUUGCCGAAGAUGCUGCCAGCCUGAGAGGACACAUGGUCUACUUCUUCUCGAUAUCACAUCUUCGCCUUGGAAGACCUUCCAGGAGGAGAUCUCAGCUUUGAGGAAGAGCCACUGGCCCGGUGUCAGCACUGCUGCUGCUUGGUACUUGGAGAGAGGUGGUCCGUGGCGCGUUCGCUUUAUUUAUGGCGCACAUUACACGGUCGACCUCUUUGCGGUAUCUAAUCCCGCCUUGCAAGCUUUCCUGGAACUAACAUCAGCGGCGGGGUGGGCACGCUAGUUCUGCGCGCUUUGCCACGCGGUGGGGUGUGUUUGUGAUGCAUCUGUCCUGUGUGUGAUGAUGACUGACGCGCGGCAGCCUUCUUCUCAGCAGACCUCGCUGGCUUGGCAGCUCCGAGGGCAGGGCUAACUUGCAGACGAGGAGAAUGGCUUCACCACGUGCCUGGGUACAUGAGGUGGUUGACCAGAGAGCACACGCUUCAUUUGUGCCGUUUGUGACCUGGUCCACUAACCCUCAGU